ACUGAUCAUUGUUCUCCCUACAGAUACCAUCUCAUACACUCUGCAAAUAAGCUGCAUUGGAAAACCAGGUAGGCUGCCACGGCCACCCACCACCUGGCAUUUGCAUUAGUUCUGGGAAAGGAACUCUGGUCCAUCCGUUUUCACAGCAAGCACGUUGUCCACACUGCCAUCUCCACAGCCCUCAGCAGCUCUAUGUUCUCUCACCAUCUGAUGUGCUUUAAGUGAGGUUGUUCCCUGAGAAUUUGGCAUGACAAGCCUGAUAAGCACUGUGGUGGCAUGAAGAGGCAGGUCCUCUAGGAAAUGAUGGAGACCAGAGGCUGAAUCCUUACGAAUGGAGUCUGCACUCACAUAAAAUGUCUGGAGAGAGUUUACUCUGUUCACUCGGCAUCAUGUAAAGACAGCGUUUCUUACCGCACAGAAUUCAAUAAGCCAGUAUCUUGGAGUCAGAAACCAGGCACCUACUCCACUGUUCUUGACUUUCCAGACACCAGAACCUCGAGAAACAAAUUUCUAUUGUUAAGUAUUUAUCAAGUCUAUUAUAUUUUUGAUAGGAGUGAAAAUAAAUAAAAUAUUGUUUCACCUGAG
rnacentral:lncRNA from 1 species